rnacentral:rRNA from 1 species
CGUAUCACCCAAGACAACUUUACGGAGUUGACGAUUGACGGAGCGAAGCGACGUCAAAGCGUUCAUUAAAGUCGAGUUGGCUUAGGGAUACGUUCGUUGGGUAGGGGAGCGUUCUGUAAGCCUGUGAAGGUGUGUCGUGAGGCAUGCUGGAGGUAUCAGAAGUGCGAAUGCUGACAUAAGUAACGAUAAAGCGGGUGAAAAGCCCGCUCGCCGGAAGACCAAGGGUUCCUGUCCAACGUUAAUCGGGGCAGGGUGAGUCGACCCCUAAGGCGAGGCCGAAAGGCGUAGUCGAUGGGAAACGGGUUAAUAUUCCCGUACUUGGUGUUACUGCGAAGGGGGGACGGAGAAGGCUAUGUUGGCCGGGCGACGGUUGUCCCGGUUUAAGCGUGUAGGUGUGUGUUCCAGGUAAAUCCGGUUCACUUUAACACUGAGGCGUGACGACGAGGCACUACGGUGCUGAAGCAACAAAUGCCCUGCUUCCAGGAAAAGCCUCUAAGCAUCAGGUAACACGAAAUCGUACCCCAAACCGACACAGGUGGUCAGGUAGAGAAUACCAAGGCGCUUGAGAGAACUCGGGUGAAGGAACUAGGCAAAAUGGUGCCGUAACUUCGGGAGAAGGCACGCUGACACGUAGGUGAAGUGAUUUACUCAUGGAGCUGAAGUCAGUCGAAGAUACCAGCUGGCUGCAACUGUUUAUUAAAAACACAGCACUGUGCAAACACGAAAGUGGACGUAUACGGUGUGACGCCUGCCCGGUGCCGGAAGGUUAAUUGAUGGGGUCAGCGUAAGCGAAGCUCCUGAUCGAAGCCCCGGUAAACGGCGGCCGUAACUAUAACGGUCCUAAGGUAGCGAAAUUCCUUGUCGGGUAAGUUCCGACCUGCACGAAUGGCGUAAUGAUGGCCAGGCUGUCUCCACCCGAGACUCAGUGAAAUUGAACUCGCUGUGAAGAUGCAGUGUACCCGCGGCAAGACGGAAAGACCCCGUGAACCUUUACUAUAGCUUGACACUGAACAUUGAGCCUUGAUGUGUAGGAUAGGUGGGAGGCUUUGAAGUGUGGACGCCAGUCUGCAUGGAGCCGACCUUGAAAUACCACCCUUUAAUGUUUGAUGUUCU